rnacentral:rRNA from 1 species
AACGUAGGAGGCAAGCGUUAUCCGGAAUUACUGGGCGUAAAGGGCGUCUAGGUGGUAAGGCAAGCGCGAUGUGAAAGCUCCUGGCUCAACUGGGAGAGUGCGUAGCGAACUGCUUAACUAGAGGCCAGGCGAUGGGGGUGGAAUUCCCGGUGGAGUGGUGAAAUGCGUAGAUAUGGGAGGAACACCAGUGGCGAAGGCGGAACUCUGGGCCGGAACUGACGCUGAGACGCGAAAGCGUGGGGAGCGAACAGG